rnacentral:rRNA from 1 species
GACGAACGCUGGCGGCGUGCUUAACACAUGCAAGUCGUACGGUAAGGCCCUUUCGGGGGUACACGAGUGGCGAACGGGGGAGUAACACGUGAGUAACCUGCCCACAACUUUGGGAUAACGCUAGGAAACUGGUGCUAAUACUGGAUAUGUGCUCCUGCUGCAUGGUGGGGGUUGGAAAGCUCCGGCGGGUGUGGAUGGACUCGCGGCCUAUCAGCUUGUUGGUGGGGUAGUGGCCUACCAAGGCGGCGACGGGUAGCCGGCCUGAGAGGGUGACCGGCCACAUUGGGACUGAGAUACGGCCCAGGCUCCGACGGGAGGCAGAAGGGGGGAAUAUUGCACAAUGGGCGCCAGCCUGAUGCAGCAGCGCCGCGUGCGGGAUGACGGCCUUCGGGUUGUAAACCGCUUUCAGCAGGGACGAAGCUUUUUGUGACGGUACCUGCAGAAGAAGCACCGGCUAACUACGUG